UACGGGGGGGGCAAGCGUUGUUCGGAAUUACUGGGCGUAAAGGGCGCGUAGGCGGUUUGCUAAGUUGAAUGUGAAAACUCUGGGCUUAACCCAGAGCCUGCAUUCAAUACUGGCAGGCUGGAGUUCUGGAGGGGAUAGCGGGAUUCCUGGUGUAGCGGUGAAAUGCGUAGAUAUCAGGAGGAACACCGGUGGCGAAGGCGGCUAUCUGGACAGAGUCUGACGCUGAGGCGCGAAAGCUAGGGGAGCAAACAGG
rnacentral:rRNA from 1 species